rnacentral:RNase_P_RNA from 1 species
GAAGUAAGCCAGACAACCGCUGGUCGUGCAGUGCAAGCUGCGUGGCGGGAGGAAGGUCCGGACUCCAUAGAGCAGGGUGACGGUUAAUGGCCGUCCGCCGUGAGGCGAGGAAUAGGGCCACAGAGACGAGCGUAUUAAGUUACGGUGAAACGCGGUAACCUCCACCCGGAGCAAUUCCAAAUAGGCACGCGUUGAUGUUGCUCGCGGAGCGUGCGGGUAGGAAGCUUGAGCGCUGGAGUAAUUCAGCGCCUAGAGGAAUGGUUGUCAUAACGGGCGGGCGCAAGCCUCAACGUCGUAACAGAAUCCGGCCUAUCGGCUUACUUCAUUU